UGGGCUCCAUCUGGUGACCUUGAGCAAGCCGUUCCCUAUGAGGACCUCAUUACUGCAUAGCACGGGAGUCAUAAAAGUUGCCACCUGGAUCAGGAGAAACAAUAAAAACCAAUGUAUACUUGUCCCUAAAGUACCAAAACCCUUUUAGGGAAGAGGAGAGGGUGUUUACGGUUUCUAUAAAAGGAGGACAGUGUAUUAGCCAGCUGAGCAGAGCCUCACAAGACCCUGUCCAGGAUGCUGGAUUACAUUUAGUUAUCACGUUUCCUUUCGGCUGUGACCGUUUCUGAGACCUUUCUUGUUCCCGAGGACUGACCGCUUUGGAGAAUACUGGUCAGGUAUUUGUAGACUACUCCUUAGCUGGGACUGGUCUGACAUUUUGCUCAUGUUUAGAUCAGGAUUAUUAGAUCAGGAUUAUUUGGAGGAGGAAGACGACAGACGCAAAAGGCAUUUUUCUGUCUUUUUGUUUUCUAAAACCCCACGUCAAUUCCUCCUGUCCUCCUACUCCAUCCCUCCAAAAGUUGUUAUAUUUACCGUGCCUUUUAGGAUAAGGAAGGAAGUCAUGAUUCUAGGUAUGUCCAAUGGAUAGUCAUGCUUACCCAACGGGCUAUCACUGGCGGAAUCCUCAUAAAAAGGAAAAUCCCCUGAAAAGCUGACUUGAGACUUGCAGCCUAGAGGUAUUCCAGACUCUGCACAGUGACUUGAGAUGGAAGGAAAACCCAACCAAGGCAGAGGCCUGCAGAAUGGACGACGGAACCAGCUAAGGAGUGCACUGGCAGAAGGUUCUCCGCAGCUGGCCAAGACUGCAGGUGGUGUGCAAGACAUCACAACUGUGCCCUGAGCCCUAUCUGACAAUUUCCAUCAACAGGACCCAGGAGGCUGAAAAAUGCAUUUCACUUUUUUUCUAAGAUGGACACAUUUUUCAAGGUUAUGUGACCAAGAAGGAAGACCCAUGCUACCUAAAAUGCAGUGUUUCAGACUGUAACUGUGCUGUCAUUGACAGGAAAGAGAAAGCUGCAUUACUGUGUUUCUUUCUCACAGUGGUGUUUGGAAAAUACACUCAGAGUGAAGUCUACAAUUAAACUUGGAACUUUACUGUGAUUUCCAGGUUUCCCUUAUUCACAGUUCAUUUGUAAUUGGUGCAAUUCUGUUACAGCACAGUAUUAAAUAGUUGCAUAGGUUGUUAACAAUCAACGUUAAAAGAAAGAAGUGGUAUGUAAGUGAAUUAAUUUUCCUUAUUUCUUUUUUUUUUUUCAGGGUGGGGAGAGGUACUGGGAUUGAACUCAUGACCUCAGGCUUGCCACUAAACUAAACCCUUGGCUCUGUCUUAUUUCUAUUCUGAAAUUUUGACGUGAAGGUUCUUAACCCUGAGGCAUUGUUUUCAGAUUUCUCUUUCAGAGUAAAUGUCCAACAUUUAAGUUUUCAUUUAUCUUUUAAGGGAGAAAAGGAAAAGAAUAUUUGAGUGAAAUAUCUGAAGAGUUGCCAUGUGUGGUGGGCAAGCCUGUAAAGCCAGCUUGUGGGAGGCUGAGGCAGAGGAUCGCCAUGAGCCUGGGCUACAUAAGCAAGUUCAAAAUCUGCCUGCAUUACAUAGUGAGACUCUGUUUUUUAAAAAGAAUUAAACAUUUAAGGAGUUUUUAAAAGAGCUCUCCUGAGCGCUUGUUGCCUAGGCUGAUUUCAAACUGGUGAGCUUGUGUGAUACUCUCUCCUCAGCUUUCCAAGUAGUUGAAACGAUAGAUUUAUGUCACCAUGUCCAGCUUAUCUUCUUGAGUUAUACUAUACAGUAGACCCCAGAAAUCUGUGAGGAUUCCAUUCCAAGAGCAACGGCAAAUUUUGAAAAAUCACCAGUUUCAGAUAUGGUCAGAAAAAUGCCUAUUUUUACAGCUUAAACACUAAAUACGCUAUGCUCCUACAGUUAUGUAAUUUAAUAAACUACUAUACUGAGAAAGCCUUAGAAGGUGCAGGGCAUUUUGGUGGCAUUUUUGGGAUCUAAGGGCUUCAAGGAAAAUAAAGCCAAGAACACUGGAGACAGCUACAGACGGUAUUGCAAGCUCACGCGGGAACUUCAGAGGAUUUGCCAGAGUGAUUUCAGGGCAGCAGCCAAUCAGCAGCAAGGAGAACUAAAAAACACUCUCGGAUUGGCUAUUUACAAGCCUCCCUCCAAAAACAAAACAAAACAAAACAAAACAAAUCCCUCCAGCAAUUGCAGAAGAUAUUUGUGGUUUCCUAGACAGUGUGGGGCUUUCUCGAACCAUUAAUAGUAAGGUUCUAAGGAAAAAUCCGUGAAUGACUGAAGCCUUGGACUCUGAACCACGGGUUUGCGGGCGUUUACUCUACUUGAUUUUGGUUAAAACCUUUUUAAAUCUCAGUUUUUCCAGUUGUAAAGUAAAUCUAUUCAUAGACUUAUUGGUCCCUUUAUUGGCUGAAUAUGUAUUUGUACGGGACUUCACAACUGUUUGGUACUUUGUAUUUAAAUAUCAUUUUGUUUUAUUGUUAAAACAAUGGGGUAAUGCGUGAUGAAUGAUUAAGACUUCGUUACUUUUACAACUAAAUAGUAAUUAUUUCUUGCUCACUGGGCAUGGUGAUGCACAGCUGUCAUUUCAGCUACCCGGGAAGCUGAGGCAAGAGGAGAGGAUCACAAGUUAGAGGCCAGCACCGGCUGUAUAGUGAGACCUUUUAAGAAAAACUUAUUGUUUAUACAGCAGCAGCAAAUGAAGCCCAAUGUCUUGGCACAUGCUAAUUCCAGCACUCAGGAAGCCCAGGCAAGGAGGAUCAUGAAUUUAAGGCCAUCUUGGACCACAGGGAGUCUGUGUCUCAACACCAACAACAAAAGCAGCAAAUGAAGCUACAUACACAAGAAGAAAAGUAUCAAGGUUCCCUCUAAAGCCCUCAAAACAACCAACCUUUCAAAGCAAAUAAAGAACAGCAAGAGGGCCUAUAGAGUCAGCUCCUCUACCUUACUCCUGGCACUGGGUCACUUCCUCAUCCCUGCGUUGCAGCUCUCAAAGCAACAAUGCCAAGAUACUUCACAAUGAAUAAAAGGAAACACUGAUGCUCAGGGACAGAAGGAGAAACACCAAGUGGACCUGUGCCCCUGGAAGAGGAGGGAGGUUCUGUUGACACGUUCUUCAGCUCUGAAAAGAGCAAACUUUUGUGGCAGUAACAUAACCAGGCCUGAUGAGAGCAGCAGAUCAAAGAAACUAAAAACGGAGUGCGUGGUUAAAUUAUUUAUGAUGAUGCUGGCGCUGUAUUGAUCAGAGGUGGUUUUUGCUCUUAACCCUACCUUCCCUACUCCUACAGAAGCUGUCAUCACCUGAAGAAAGGGGCCCAGUGGGAGGGGCAGUGUGAGUGGGCACCGGUCAGGCCCCUCAUUAAAAGAAGACUUCAUCCAAUAUAAGUCUACUAUAUCUAAUGACAAGCUGAUGAUGCCUUUGCAUAUCAUAUUUCCUAGGAAAGAAAUAGCAUAUCAUUUCACCCUGAACCCCAGGGAAGGAAAGGUUCUGCCCGACCUGCCAAGAUCAUAUUACCACCGCAACAGAAAACUCAGUACGAAAUUGGAGUUUCAAAAUACAGGACCUAUUAAAAAGACGUAUUUUUGGAAUCUGAUUUACAUUAUUGAUUGCUGAAUCACCACUGCCAGGCACACAGUAGAUAAUCAGACAUAUGUAAUGGGCUAUUUUAAUGGCAUCUUGCUGUUCAGACACUGAAGGCCACGUGCUCCGUGGCGAGUCUUAGGCGGUCACUGGCCUCCUAGAUAGCCUGGGCUAGCUGUCCUGGGCAACAUCUUGCUUGCCAGACCAAAGGCUGGGAUGAAUGUAGGAUAUGUGCACACAGUUCAGACUCUGCCACUGGGGAAACCGUAAGACAGGGAUUGCUGUUUUGUCCAUACGUAAACAAUCUCAAGGCAUUAACUGUCCUAUUUGGACCCAAGAAUGUGUGUGAUAGACUUGUGAAGAAAAGAAACUUUUAAAAGGUAUAGUAUCCUUUUCAGCUCAAGGAAAAAAAAGACUCAGAAAGAAAACUUGGUUCAAAAAAGAAAGAAAACUUGGUUCUUAAUACUACUGAGGUAACCACUGUGGAGCAGCCAGAGUACUGUUCUGAUGUAGAGGAGAAACAGUCCUGGGAGCUGAAGAAAUUGGCUCAUUUCAAAAGGAAAUUCAAGAAUUUUCAUAAGUAAUUGUUUGAAAACUACCUAGGAAAAUGGUAUUAUGAUGUAUGUCCAUUACAGUCAACUUUGGCUAAUUACUGCCUUUUUCCUAGAAGUAAGUAUUUUAGGAAACUAAAAUACUAAAAUGUUAUAGAAAGACAAUAAAAAGUUAGGUAUGCCUGUUUUUCUGAUGGCAUUUAUCAAGGAGUAUUAAAAAUAAUCAGAUUUCAGCAAAAGCCUAAGAUGUUAUCAUUUUGGAUCUUGGAUCACGACGAAGAGGAGAGCCCAUGCCAAGGCCUCUGUCUUUCUAAAUUUCUACGAAUGACAGAUGUUCUUAUUUUUAAAUCCAUAGCAGUACUAGAAACACAGAAAUCAAGACACUGAUUGGGCCAUUAAUUUUUGUAAGGAGUCUCUUAAAUAUUCAAGGCAGAUGGAAUACAACUAACAGAGAAAAGCCACCACCUAAAACUGAAUGAUUCCCAAUGUGUUAUUAACUCAGAAAGAGCAGAUACAAGGGACAGGAAGAGCCCAGGCUGCAGAAAAAGUAACCUGUGUAUCUUAAAGAAAAACGCUGAGAAACAAUGUAUAAGAUGGCAAAAUGUAUCAAUAGAAUUAUUUAUCAUAACCAAGUAGGAUGUAUACCUUGAGGCAUUUCCAAUUGGAAAAAGGCCAAUGUGAUUUGUUCAAUUUCUAGAUUGAAAAAAUGGAAACCCAUCAUAUAAAUAGACAUUCCAAAAUGACAUUUGAUAAAAUUCAACAUAUAAAUCUAACAAAAAGAUUUCUUUCUAUAUUAUGCUUAAGAAAAACUUUCUAGGGGGCAAGGGAUUUAGCUCAGGGACACAGUGCCUGCCUAGCAAGUGGGAGAUCCUGAAUUCGAUUUCUGACACCAAAAAGAGGAAAAAAAGAAAGAAAAAAGGAAAAUCUUCUGAACUCUGGUAAGUAUUAACCAAAAAUAAUCCUCAGCUACAGAUGAAUUAUUAUCAGGUUUCCCUUAAAGUCAGAAAUACGACGAAAAUGGCUGCUAUCACUUCUGUCACCAAACAUUAUAUUGGGAGUUAUAGCACAUUAAGCCAAGAAGAAUGACCUCCACAUAUUUGAUGGCCUUGGUAAAUCAGAUGAAAAUUGGCCCACAUAUAAUUUUCCAAUAAUAAAUGAUAACAUUUAAAUUUUUUCUGGGAAAUCAACUAACAAACUAUUAGAAACAAUAAGAUGAUCAGAAAUAAAAGAAAAUCCACAGCCUUCUAAUCACUAACAAUAUUCAUGUAAAGACUAUGUACUGAAGAAAAAAAUUCCAAAAAGUUCAUAAGAAUCACACUUAACGACUAUCCCUGAAGAAUACAGAUAACCUGAAUAAAAAUACAUGUUAUGUUAUGGGAUGAAAAAAUAGCACAUUGUAAACAUUUCUUUUUCUCUGAUAAGCUAAUCUGCAAAUCCAACAAAAGUCACUUUAAAAAUGUCAAGGUCAGUGCCAGGCAUGGUAGCACAUGCCUGUAAUUCCAGAACUUGGAAGGCUAAGGUAGGAUUGUGGUUAGUUUCAGGCCAGCCUGAACUACAUAGUGAGUUCAAAGAUAGUCUUAACUACAUAGCAAGACCUUGUGUCCAAAAACAAGCAAACAAAAGUCAAGGUUGUCUAGGAAAUUUUCAAGUUAAUUCUACAAUUCAUUCAGAAAUUGUGAUUGCUUACCUUGAUCUGUUUUGCAUACUUGUACCUUGUAAUCCAUGCAACUAUUCUGAAGAUAACAAUAUUCAAUAUAAUGACUAUUAUUAAUUUUCUAUUAGCUUAUCCCUAGUACUGACAAAAAAAACCCUAAAAUUUUCUAUUAGCUUGUUUUGAAAUCCUGUAUCAUUUCUACUGUCUUGCUUUGUUUUUGUUUUUCUUUUAAUCUCCUUAAAAUGAAAAAUUAAUUAAAAAAUACCUGAGAGAAUUUCUAAAACAAGAGAAAUGCUCUAACAUAUACAAAAUGAUGUCAAACAACUAGAACAAUCCAUACAGAAACCAACAAAUAGAUUGACAAAAUACAAUAGAAAAAUCUAGAGUAAGGACCAUUAGAUUUUACUGAUAUUUAUUUAUUAAAUAUAAAUAUAAGCCAGGGAUUUAGCUCAGCAGCAUAAGCGCCUGCCUUGCAAGCGCAUGGUCAUGAGUUCGAUCCCUGGCAUGAAAGUAUCUGUUGAUAGAUAGAUAGAUAGAUAGAUAGAUAGAUAGAUAGAUAGAUAGAGAGAGAGAGAUGGAGGUGAUGUUUCACAUCAGGGCUGAAAGGGUGGACCACAAAGAGUGAUAAGAAAAAAUCUCUGUACAUCAAAACAUCAAUGUUUUUUUUAAAAAUGUGAAUGUCUUAGUUACUUUCUCAUUGCUCUGACAAAAUAUCUGACACUCGAAAUUGAAGGAGGCCAGGUUUGUUUGGCUCAAGGUUCAGUCAGCUGGCUGCAAGGCAGACAUGGCCUGGAAGAAGGGUAUAGUGGAAGAAAACUUGCUCACACUACAGCAACCAGGAGCACUGGACAAGAAUACACCACUCCCGGCCAUGGUCCUUCGUGAGCCACCUCCAACCAGGCCCCGCCUGCUAACAGCUACUCAUAAAGUGAUCACCUUCCAAAAGCCUCACCUCUGAACCCCUGAUCUAACCCACAACAGAAAAAGACUGGGAGAAAAUGUUUGCAACAUAUAUGACACAGGACACAGGUAAGAAGAAAAAACAGCCUGUAAAUCAAGAAAAACAUACACAAGUAGAAAAAUGGGCAAAGGAUAUAAACAAUUUAUAAGUAAGACAAAAUAAACACCAAUAAAAAUGUAUAAAUUUUUUUUUGUCUUUUUCCUUUUUAUCGGUACCGGGGAUCAAACUCACGACUGCCUGCUUUAAAGGCAGGCGCUUAUGCCGCUGAGCUAAAUCCCCAGCCCCAACACCAAUAAAAAUGAACACCGACAGUAGCAAUAAGGAAAAACUAAAGAAACCUCAUCAUUUGUCAGAAUAUUGAAACUUGAUAUUACAUGUUCUUUUGCAAGAGUGUAGGAAAUAUGUAUGUUCAAGAACUUUUGGUUCUGGAGAUUGAAGCCGCUAUUUUGAAGGGCAAGUUGGCAGCACUGAUUGCAGUGUUGGAAGAUCCAGUAAUUCUACUUUUCAGUAGCUAUUCAGAGACACACCCUCCAAAGAGACCUGUGUCAGUAUGUUAACUGUAGCAGUGUUUAUAAUGGUAAAAAUGGAAAUGUUUUCAACACUCAGCUAUGUUGUGACAUAUGUCAGAACUUCAUUAUAUUUUAUGGGUAAAUAAGAGUCCACUAUAGGUGUCUACCUACUACAUUUUGUUUAUCCAUUCAUCUGUUAACAGGCUCUGGUAUUUCCAGUUUUUGGUUACUGUACCAUGAAACUGUAAUAUAUACCAGUAUAAAAGUAACUGUUUAGUCUCUUGUUUUUUUAGUUUUGGCUGUAUACCUAGGAGCAGAAUUGCUAAGCAAUAUACUAAUUCUAUUAUGCUUAACUUUUUUGAGAAAAUACUGUUUCCUAUAGUGGCUGUGAAUGUGGGUUCCAGCCUCCCUCAUGGUCACCAGUGCUUGCCCUUCACCUCAUUUUUGAUUAGAGCCUCUUAGUAGUUAAAAAGCUGUAUGUCAAGUAGUUUUGAUUUACAUUUUCCUAAUAACUAAUGAUGCUGAACACCUUCUCAGGUGCUUACCUGGGUGCCCAUUUUUGUAGUAAGUGUUUGUUGGAGCAUGGCCGCACUGAGUUCCUUACCUAUUUUCAGUGGCCUUUUAUUCUAUAACCGCAGAGUUGAGCAGCGACACCAGCCUAGCAUAUCUCAAGUUUAAAAAUUUUGUCCAAAUCCUAUGCUAGACCAUAAA